rnacentral:rRNA from 1 species
GGGUGGUAAUGCCGGAUGCUCCGACAUGACGCAUGUCGUGUCGGRRAAGAUUCAUCGGUAUGGGAUGGGGUCGSGUCCUAUCAGCUUGAUGGCGGGGUAACGGCCCACCAUGGCUUCGACGGGUAGCCGGCCUGAGAGGGCGACCGGCCACAUUGGGACUGAGAUACGGCCCAGACUCCUACGGGAGGCAGCAGUGGGGAAUAUUGCACAAUGGGCGCMAGCCUGAUGCAGCGACGCCGCGUGCGGGAUGACGGCCUUCGGGUUGUAAACCGCUUUUGACUGGGAGCAAGCCCUUCGGGGUGAGUGUACCUUUCGAAUAAGCACCGGCUAACUACGUGCCAGCAGCCGCGGUAAUACGUAGGGUGCAAGCGUUAUCCGGAAUUAUUGGGCGUAAAGGGCUCGUAGGCGGUUCGUCGCGUCCGGUGUGAAAGUCCAUCGCUUAACGGUGGAUCCGCGCCGGGUACGGGCGGGCUUGAGUGCGGUAGGGGAGACUGGAAUUCCCGGUGUAACGGUGGAAU